rnacentral:rRNA from 1 species
GCAUAUCAAUAAGCGGAGGAAAAGAAACUAACAAGGAUUCCCCUAGUAGCGGCGAGCGAAGCGGGAAGAGCUCAAAUUUAUAAUCUGGCACCUUCGGUGUCCGAGUUGUAAUCUCUAGAAAUGUUUUCCGCGCUGGACCGCACACAAGUCUGUUGGAAUACAGCGGCAUAGUGGUGAGACCCCCGUAUAUGGUGCGGACGCCCAGCGCUUUGUGAUACAUUUUCGAAGAGUCGAGUUGUUUGGGAAUGCAGCUCAAAUUGGGUGGUAAAUUCCAUCUAAAGCUAAAUAUUGGCGAGAGACCGAUAGCGAACAAGUACCGUGAGGGAAAGAUGAAAAGCACUUUGGAAAGAGAGUUAACAGUACGUGAAAUUGUUGGAAGGGAAACGCUUGAAGUCAGACUUGCUUGCCGAGCAAUCGGUUUGCAGGCCAGCAUCAGUUUUCCGGGAUGGAUAAUGGUAGAGAGAAGGUAGCAGUUUCGGCUGUGUUAUAGCUCUCUGCUGGAUACAUCUUGGGGGACUGAGGAACGCAGUGUGCCUUUGGCGGGGGUUUCGACCUCUUCACACUUAGGAUGCUGGUGGAAUGGCUUUAAACGACCCGUCUUGAAACACGGACCAA